rnacentral:rRNA from 1 species
ACGAAGGGGGCUAGCGUUGUUCGGAUUUACUGGGCGUAAAGGGCGCGUAGGUGGUUUGUUUAGUUAGAGGUGAAAGCCCGGGGCUUAACCCCGGAAUUGCCUUUGAUACUGGCAAACUAGAGUCCAGAAGAGGUUGGCGGAAUACCCAGUGUAGAGGUGAAAUUCGUAGAUAUUGGGUAGAACACCGGUGGCGAAGGCGGCCAACUGGUCUGGUACUGACACUAAGGCGCGAAAGCGUGGGGAGCAAACAG